CAGGUUUUGGUACCGUAGAUCCACUUUUACUUUCUAUCUGGUAGAUCUGAUUGCUUUGGUAGUGCGUAUUAUGUAGACGUCGAACAAUGGGUAGAGGACUUUCUGUUUCUUGACAUGGAACGGUUUGAUCCUGAGCUGCUGUCUCCUAGUUUUUCUGGACUCAGCACUUACGAAUUGCGAGUGCUGAUUCAACAAAUUUUCUGUAAUGUAUUAUGAUUGGGGUUUGCAAUUGGACUGGAAAUGCCUUAAGCAUAGAUCAUUGUGCAUGAGGGUUGGUUUUGUUUUUGUAGGCUGCAGCAUUUGAAUUGAAUGAGUAAUCAGGCUUUUUGUAGAUUGAGCUUGGUAAUAGUGCUCUUUUAGUAGGGUUUCUUUUAUUGUGUAGUAUAAUUUGGUCUACCUGUAUUUGACAGAUGUGCUAUUUACUACCCAAUAUUGAAGUGAGACUUUGAAAUUUCUAUUGUGAAUUAUAUAUGAGAUCCAUAGAAUCUGCAAAGAAAAUUGAAAUUGUUAUUUUAAUUAGAUCCAAAAAAAUGUCUAAUAUUAGGGGAAAUGGUGUCAGAAGGGACGAUGGCAUAAAGGUUCAGGCCAGGUUCUAUAACAAAUUGUGAAUGUUAUCUUAUUUACUAAUAAGAAGGCAAGGCAGAGUAAAGCUUGGCCAAGGGCAUCUAUUUAUAUAAAAGCUUGAAUGGUGUGUAAAAAUCAUAAAUUUGUUUAUCUUAGUGCAUUCACAUAGCUUGCUGUGUUACUUAUGCUAAUAUUUCUGCUUCUAUGCACUCUUUCUGUUAUAAUGCUUUGUGGUAUAGCUGACCCCAACCAAGUGCUUUCAAGUACUUACAGUUGCUUAGGUAAUUAAGUAAAGAAGCUUAAUCCUCUGUCAAAGCAUUACUGGUGACUGUUGAUUUUCUGUAUUUCAUUCUUCCACUUCCUGUCAUUUGGCCCAGAUACCAGAUAUUCCUAUGGUUGUUAA
rnacentral:lncRNA from 1 species